AGUGAACGCUGGCGGUAGGCCUAACACAUGCAAGUCGAACGGCAGCACAGUAAGAGCUUGCUCUUACGGGUGGCGAGUGGCGGACGGGUGAGGAAUACAUCGGAAUCUACUUUUUCGUGGGGGAUAACGUAGGGAAACUUACGCUAAUACCGCAUACGACCUACGGGUGAAAGCAGGGGAUCUUCGGACCUUGCGCGAUUGAAUGAGCCGAUGUCGGAUUAGCUAGUUGGCGGGGUAAAGGCCCACCAAGGCGACGAUCCGUAGCUGGUCUGAGAGGAUGAGCAGCCACACUGGAACUGAGACACGGCCCAGACUCCUACGGGAGGCAGCAGUGGGGAAUAUGGGACAAUGGGCGCAAGCCUGAUCCAGCCAUACCGCGUGGGUGAAGAAGGCCUUCGGGUUGUAAAGCCCUUUUGUUGGGAAAGAAAAGCAGCAGGUUAAUACCCCGCUGUUCUGACGGUACCCAAAGAAUAAGCACCGGCUAACUUCGUG
rnacentral:rRNA from 1 species